CGCGUAGGCGGCCGAGCGGGUCGCGGGUGAAAUCCCCCAGCUUAACUGGGGAACUGCCCUCGAUACCACUGCGGCCCGAGGAAGGAGGGGGUCAUGGGAACUGUCGGUGGAGCGGUGAAAUGCGUUGAUAUCGACAGGAACGCCGGUGGCGAAAGCGCAUGACUGGUCCUUAUCUGACGCUGAGGCGCGAAAGCCAGGGGAGCAAACGGGAUUAGAUACCCCGGUAGUCCUGGCCUUAAACGAUGAGAACUAGGUAGUGGGUCCGACCUGGGCACACUGCCGAAGCGAAAGUCUUAAGUUCUCCGCCUGGGGAGUAUGGUCGCAAGGCUGAA
rnacentral:rRNA from 1 species